UCUGCUCUUUAGGUUAGACAGCCACAGGCUGGAAAAUAAAUGAGAACUAAGCCUUAAGAUUGUGAAGAGGAGAAGAACCAGCAUACCCCCUCCCUCUUAAUAUCCAGACAUAUACAACCUUUCAUUUUUGUCUCCAGCGUGUGUCUGGGAUCAGAAGCCAUCAGAAGUGGAUCAGUGACAUUCAGAACACAAAUUGCCUCUAUCAGGAUCAAAUUCACCAUAGAAGGUCUGAAUUUCUCUUGCUGCUCCUGCUUCCCUAUAGGACAGUGUACCACCACUGAAAGCUGCCUUCCUGCGUUUGUAGUGUACUGUGUUCUGGACAGUGAAAAAGGGAUAUGGAUCCAAUCUCAUUCUCAGAUCACAUCUCCAAAACUGGUUUAAAGUGGGAGAAAUACCACAUCAUAACAAUGCAGUGAAUCAGUUGUAAUAGUCUACAGUCUGCAGCAGAGGAGAAGAAAGCUUCACUGUUAUAGUUCAUGGAUUUUAUUUUUUUUUUCUGUUUUACAUGAUAAAGAGUCCAGAAAAAUACCACAGAUAAAUCAGUGACAAAAAAAAAUGUGU
rnacentral:lncRNA from 1 species